UACGUAGGUGACAAGCGUUGUCCGGAUUUACUGGGCGUAAAGAGCGCGCAGGCGGUCGUUCAAGUCGAGUGUGAAAGCCCCCGGCUCAACUGGGGAGGGUCACUCGAUACUGAUCGACUCGAAGGCAGGAGAGGGUAGUGGAAUUCCCGGUGUAGUGGUGAAAUGCGUAGAUAUCGGGAGGAACACCAGUGGCGAAGGCGGCUAUCUGGCCCGUAAUUGACGCUGACGGCGCGAAAGCGUGGGGAGCAAACAGG
rnacentral:rRNA from 1 species